GGGUGUGAGGGUGAUCUGGCUGUGAUAUCUGUCACCCCCUCCAUCACCAGGGUUGAUUUGGAUGAUCUGGCUGGCUUGGUGUGUGUCCCCUUCCUCCCUCACGGCUCCAUGUGUGCCCCUCCCUAAGCUGUGUGCUCUGUCAAAGAGAAUGACCUUCCCCGAUAGAGAGGACCAGUCUUCGGUCAAGGGUAUACAAGUAGCUGUGCUCCCCUGCUAGAACCUCCAAACAAGCUCUCAAGAUGGUAGAUGUUAUUUAUUUAAAAAAUCUACUGUGCUUUUGGGAAAAUGGAAUUGGGU
rnacentral:snRNA from 1 species